GACGGAGGAUGCAAGCGUUAUCCGGAAUUAUUGGGCGUAAAGCGUCCGCAGGUGGCUGUUCAAGUCUGCUGUCAAAGCGCAGAGCUUAACUCUGUACAGGCGGUGGAAACUGAAGAGCUAGAGUAUGGUAGGGGUAGAGGGAAUUCCCGGUGUAGCGGUGAAAUGCGCAGAUAUCAGGAGGAACACCGGUGGCGAAGGCGGGUCUCUGGGCCGUAACUGACGCUGAGGAGCGAAAGCGUGGGUAGCGAACAGG
rnacentral:rRNA from 1 species